UGAUCGUUAAAUAAAUAAGGGAAAACUUCAAAAACCCCCCUGUGGUUUCGUGCAUUCUCACUUUGCUACCCUGUGGUUUAAAACGUAUCAAUUUGCUCUCCUGUGGUUUCGUUUUUAUCUUUUUGUUAUCAAUUUUAUUAUUAUUAUUUUUUUAAAUCAGUGACAAAGUUAAAAUUAAAGGAUACUAAAGUGACUAUUCGAUAAAUAUAGAUGGUUAUCUGAAGUUUUUUGUAUAUAAUUUAACGAAAUAUUAACGAAAAAGCUUCCGAAAAGAUAAAAAUGAAACCACAGGGGGGUAAAUUGAUACGUUUUAAACCACAGGGUAGCAAAGUGAGAAUGCACGAAACCACAGGGGGGUUUUUGAAGUUUUCCCAAUAAAUAAUAUCAAAAAAUUAUAAAAUUUAUUUUUAAGAAGCUCAGAAACGUAGAUGAUGUAUAUGUAUAUGUAUAUGUAUAUGUAUGUAUGUAAAAAACGAAU
rnacentral:lncRNA from 1 species